UGGCACAAUGGUUAAAGUGCUUGGCUGCUAACCAAAAGGUCGGUGGUUUGAAUCCACC
rnacentral:tRNA from 1 species